AACGCGGUGGGAUUUUAUGGGUCUUUACCGCAUCCGUACCCGGUUAACCGGAGAGAAAUUAGAAACAACUAUAUAAUCCUCACUUUAAUUCUGAUAAACUCAUAAUCUACGUCUUUAUCCCCAAUUUUUUUUUUCAACUCCACUGUUUCCGAAUUUGAACGAAAAAUGACGAAGAGUAGCUUCAAGUUCGAACAUGAUUUUGAUUUAUAAUUAUACAGAGAAGAGGCGCGCUGAGGCGGUGAGAAUUAGGGCUAAAUAUCCAGAUAGAGUUCCGGUAAUUGUGGAGAAGGCUGAAAGAAGUGAUAUUCCUGACAUUGAUAAGAAAAAAUAUCUAGUCCCAGCUGACCUGACAGUGGGUCAGUUGGUCUAUGUAAUCCGGAAGAGGAUUAAACUGAGUGCAGAAAAGGCCAUUUUCAUAUUUGUGGACAAUGUCCUCCCACCAACUGGGGCAGUAAUGUCUACGAUCUAUGAUGAAAAGAAGGAUGAAGAUGGAUUUCUUUAUGUUACAUAUAGCGGAGAGAAUACAUUUGGGUAGUAGAUGCUGCCUUAGUUAAAGUGCCUUUAAUGUGUUGCAGUCUCUGAUAUGCCUACACUCAUAUCUAUUAUUCUGAUUUCCCACAUUGAUACUGCCAAGUGAUGUUACCACAAGAAUACAAGACAAAUGUUGCAAGUGAUGAAGAGAGCAGGGGAAGAUUCAUGUAAUGGAGGAAAGUUUUUAUGCGUAGUGGUUUCAUUAGGGUCUUGUGCAGAUACGUUACUGCCUUUUUGUCAUUUAACCUUUUUAUUUUUUUAACAAAGCUUUUAGUCAUUUAACUUAA